rnacentral:rRNA from 1 species
UGGCGACCGGCGCACGGGUGCGUAACGCGUAUGCAACCUACCCAUAACAGGGGGAUAACACUGAGAAAUUGGUACUAAUACCCCAUAACAUCAGGACCGGCAUCGGUUCUGGUUGAAAACUCCGGUGGUUAUGGAUGGGCAUGCGUUGUAUUAGCUGGUUGGUGAGGUAACGGCUCACCAAGGCAACGAUACAUAGGGGGACUGAGAGGUUAACCCCCCACAUUGGUACUGAGACACGGACCAA